CCCCCCCAGAUUGACAUUUUGUCAUUUACACACUGUGAACUUUUAUUAGAGCAAAACUUAUUAAAACAUGUAAUUUUAUAAAUCGUCAAGAAAAAUAAUAAAGUGAAAACUUUCAACAACGGAUCUCUUGGUUCUCGCAUCGAUGAAGAGCGCAGCGAAAUGCGAUAAUUAAUGUGAAUUGCAGAUUUUCGUGAAUCAUCGAGUUCUUGAACGCACAUUGCGCCCUCUGGGAUUCCGGAGGGCAUGUCUGUUUGAGCGUCAUUUCAUUCUCACAAUAUAGUGGUUAUGACAUUGCCAGAAUUUUUUUUGGCUCUGUUGAAAAAGAUUAGGAAGACACCAAAGAACUAGGUUUACACCUCUUUGGAGUGUCCUUAAUAAAACAUACCAGAAAGUUUGACCUCAAAUCAGAUAGGAAUACCCGCUGAACUUAAGCAUAUAAA
rnacentral:rRNA from 1 species